rnacentral:lncRNA from 1 species
GUAUCAUUAUCAUUAUCAUUAUAUUGAUAGCUGUGCAAUAAUUUCCAGCAUGGGAGGUGAUUGUGACGAGACAACUAGGUCAGGACGACGUGAAGAUGUUGUCGCACAUCACUGCAACGUUUUCUGUGGCGCUGUGUGUGAAGUCUGAAGGGUCCGCUGUGUGCCAAAUCACUGACACACACAUCAUGCAUUUGGAGAAACAUAAAGCUGUGGACUUGAACCUGACAGGGCAACUAUGCAACACAUGUCUCCAGGUGAAGAGGCUCGAUGUGAAGUAUGCAGCCACAGUCCUUCACUGUCUUGAGCAAUGCGAAGAAUCCCCGUACGUCAGACCUGUCGUCAUCAGACAACCCUCUUGGGACUUGACUUGGGUUGUUGUACCUGCGGGCGUUUGCCUCUCUGGCAUCAUUACUAUCACUCUGGUGCUGCACGUACUGUUAACCGUGUAUGAGAGGAGGAAACUAAAAAGAAAUGGAGGCUAUAUCUCUGAAAAGCAAAUAGGUAAGAUAAUCACAAUUGUAUUGACUACAUCGCAUGUGCAUUUUCAAAGACCUGAAACGUGAGUGUAAUCCUGUGUUUUGACAGAUCCUGCUUUUGACUGCGUGGUCCCUGUAUUACAAUCUCAACCUGCUGUCCACGGAGGGGUCCUCAUACCUGAUUCACCAAAGUGUGGGAACACGGAGAAGACCAAUUUACUCUCUGACUGAGCGAAGAGCAGCGCUCCCGUCAAAAGCAUUACUUGUAAUGUGAUGUAUACAACUGUACAAACCAAAUGUGUUCUCUGUUAAAUGCAGCGUUCAAUGUUGGGACAGAUAUUACAAAUGUUAUAUAUAUUACUGGAUCUUUGCUGGUUGGUGUACUUGUUGUAUUUGAUGUUGUCUGGGAGAAAGCUAACAUGUAUAUUGUCAUUUUUUUUUAAAGUUCAAAUUCAGCUUGCAGCAACAGUUGGAUCCUAACUAAUAUUUAUAUUUUCAAUAAAAAUAUAAAAGCGAAACAUGAAAAAAACUACUUUUUUACAUGACAGAUGUGAAAAAGCAAA